CAAUUCACCACUCCUGAUGCCAUAUAUAUUCUUCAGGAGUGAAGCUAAGGAACUUUUAUCAUAGGUGGCAUGGGACUAAAAAUGUAGCAAAAGCAAUGACAACUAUGGCAACAGGAGCAAACAAAGUGUCAGUUAUAAAUUGGUAUCCAGAACUUUCAGGAAAGAGUACGAAGACAAAUGUGUACUACAGUAUGAAGAACUGCAAUAAGUCUCUAAGGAAUUUACAAGACUCAAUCACAAAUAUUGGGGGUAUCAUUAUCAAGGAAUCACUCCAACUGCAAUCAGUCAUGUAGCAGUAGACGCCUUGGGUAUGCACAAUCAAAGAAGCUAAUUGACCCUAUGAAGUGGAAGCAUACGCUAGAAAGUUAAAGAUUUAACUAGUGAAUAACUAUAUUGAGCAUGCGCAUACCCGUAUCAAGCACAUUUCGUGCAAUGGCUGACAAGGAACAGGCAAAGCAGUGAAUUUGUCGACAUCAUUGUCUUCUCGUCCUUGUUACUGAACAGUGGUAGUCUGCUUUACUGUGGACGGGGAAGGAGGAGGCUGGUGGAGAGAAAAAGAAUUAGGCAACUGAGGAGAGUUGAGAAGACAGUAAGGAUCAAAACUGAAGAGAGUGAGCGAAGAGGAGUGGAAAGGACAUUAAUCUAGAAGGGAUGCUUUCCAAGCGACUUCCCAUAACCCACUCAGUGCUUUGAGCAGUGUUUUUUGGGA